UAUGGCCACAUCAUGUUGAAAUACCAGUUCCCAUAUGAUUACUCAAGUUAAGCAACAUUAAGCCUAGUCAGGACCUAGAUGAGUGACUGCUUGGGAAUACCAGGUGCUGUAAG